rnacentral:lncRNA from 1 species
UUGCCCUGGGUUGAGUUUAGGGAAUGUCUGGAAAGAAAAAAAGGGAGGAAAAAAGGAGGGGGGCAGCUCAAGCCUUGUCCAAGUUAGUCAGAAGGCGGUGUUAGGCAGGAAAGCGCCUACGGGAAAAACAGCUGGGAUGCAGACGGGCUAUGGAAAUCUCAGUUCUAGGAACCGUGUCCUUUCGUCCCGGAGAUCUGUGUGUUGGCUGUGACUCUGUUGGGCUCUACUGGACUUGGCUGGGCUCAGCUUCAGACUUGAGGUCAUGUUCAGAUGUUCUCCAAGUACCUUUUCAUUCUGGGUUCCAGGCUGAAUUAACAGCCUCACCUGGGACAAGGUGUUUUUAUGACAGAGAGAAAAAGCACAAGAGUUCAAGACAAAUCACACAAACAUAUUUAAAGCCUCUGCUCAGAUGUGGCAUUGGAUACAUCCCCAUAAACUCUACUGGCAAAACAAAGACACACAGACUUGUGGCAAAGCUCUAAGUCAAUGGCGAAGAGAAGCACUGGCCUUCAGGCACAUUGACGCUGGGAUUCUAGGAUGCAGAUGGUAGGGAUUAGAUACAACUUCCUGAGCUGGCAGUGAAAGGACUGACGUUUGGUUCCCUAUAACUUGGGGAGGGGCUGGUAAAGGUAAGACACAAGAGAACUAAGUGCCCAUACUUGAUCCCAGCUAAAUCAAUCUUCCUAGCAUUCCACCCAGAAAGGAUUUUGACAACUUUAUUAAAUGAAACUGGGAAGUGAAGAUUAGGCUCAGUGGAGCCAGAUUGGAAUCCAGACAACAUGGCUUAAGGAAAAAGAGGAAACACGAAAGGUGACAUAAAGGGCAAAAGAAUGAAAUGGAGCCUGAAGACAUUUACAGGCAAGAUUAACAAAAAUUGAGCCUGAGUUCUGCAAUUCACAGUCCUAAAACUAUUUUUUAUUUAUCCUGCUCAGUACUCAAAGUAUACUUUUGAUAUGGAAUAAAUCUUUUCUCAAUUCUGGAAAAUUUUUAGCUAUCUUUGUUUAGAAUAUUGCUUUUUCAAAAUUUUCUUCAUUCUCUUGUUCUGAAACUCGUACUAGAAAUAUGUUAGCAUUGCUGAUCUUUCUUACAUGCCCCUUCACUGGCUCUGUCAUGUUUUUUAUCUCUAGGUUUUAGAUGAAAUCAAUAGUACUAGCUGGUUAAUUCACUCAUCAGUUCCUCGAUUAUGCCUAGUAAAGAACUUUUUUCUGGCCAGGCGUGGUGGCA